AUUGAACGCUGGCGGAAUGCUUUACACAUGCAAGUCGAACGGCAGCACGGGGCAACCUGGUGGCGAGUGGCGAACGGGUGAGUAAUACAUCGGAACGUGCCCAAUCGUGGGGGAUAACGUAGCGAAAGCUACGCUAAUACCGCAUACGAUCUACGGAUGAAAGCGGGGGAGUCGCAAGACCUCGCGCGAAUGGAGCGGCCGAUGGCAGAUUAGGUAGUUGGUGGGGUAAAGGCUCACCAAGCCUGCGAUCUGUAGCUGGUCUGAGAGGACGACCAGCCACACUGGAACUGAGACACGGUCCAGACUCCUACGGGAGGCAGCAGUGGGGAAUUUGGUAC
rnacentral:rRNA from 1 species